rnacentral:rRNA from 1 species
GAUGAACGUUGGCGGUGUGCCUAAUACAUGCAAGUCGAACGGAGAUUGUAGCAAUACGGUCUUAGUGGCGAACGGGUGAGUAACGCGUUGGUGAUCUGCCUCGAAGUGUGGAAUAACGAUUCGAAAGAAUCGCUAAUACCGCAUAGUCUCUCUUUUUCCAGAAAUUUGAGAGUAAAGGAUUUAUUCGCUUUGAGAGGAGCCUGCGUCCCAUCAGCUAGUUGGUAAGGUAAUGGCCUACCAAGGCGAUGACGGGUAGGGGACCUGAGAGGGUGGCCCCCCACAAUGGAACUGAAACACGGUCCAUACACCUACGGGUGGCAGCAGUAGGGAAUAUUGGUCAAUGGG